rnacentral:rRNA from 1 species
UACGGAGGGUGCAAGCGUUAUCCGGAUUUACUGGGUUUAAAGGGUGCGUAGGCGGGCUUUUAGGUCAGCGGUGAAAGCUUCGAGCUUAACUCGGAAAUUGCCGUUGAUACUAUUAGUCUUGAAUUAAGUUGAGGUGGGCGGAAUAUGUCAUGUAGCGGUGAAAUGCUUAGAUAUGACAUAGAACACCGAUUGCGAAGGCAGCUCGCUAAACUUAUAUUGACGCUGAGGCACGAAAGCGUGGGGAUCAAACAGG